UGCAGGCAGGGGGUGUGGGGAGCAUGGAGGGCUCAGGGCUGCACAGCUCCUCUCACUGCUCCUCUUUCCUCAGA
ensembl:miRNA gga-mir-12256 gga-mir-12256